GGCGACGCCUAGGCCUGUGGUACGGUCGCGGCUCUAGUCCCCGGGGCCUCUCGGUGGUCUCUUGGCUGAGAGGUUGGGCCUCAGGGGCGGGGAAAGGUGGCCGGCACCGGGGGGUACCUGACAGCGGCCCGCGUUAGGGCCGCUAUCUCCCUCGCCCUCCCUCACCACCCCUCCACCCUCUUACCUCCGCUCAGGCCGGAGCCGCGUCCGCUCCGCCUCCUUGGUCCCGGUUACUGCUCGGUCGGGGGCCCGGCGCAGCGAGGUGUUGGCACCUCCCACUGAAGCGGCCCGGCCUCGGCGGGAUGCGCUCCGGUGCCCGCGAGAGGGAGAAAGGAAGGGAGCGCAGACGAGGGGAGGGGGCUGGCGACGGCGCCUCGCCCCUCCCCUCCUCCCUUGGCUGCCCACCGCCGCCCCCGUCUUUCUCGCAGACGCCCCCUCCCCUCGGAGUUGACCCCCGGGAGUGGACGCAGCGUCUCCCGCUGGGGCUGCCUUCGCUUUUCCAGGGAAUUCCUCCGUGGGCCACCCCCACCUUCUCCGGGGUUAGGUUCUCCCAAAUCUUGGAAAUCCGUGAUACCCGACCUAGAAGGAUGCAGCGUGUAUGAUGCCAAGAGCAACCUUUUCCACAGCCCCUCUCCUCAGCCUGCCCCAGCUUUUCUGGUGGUGGUCCCUCCAUCUGGGAGCUCCGAUCACUUCACGUUUUCACCCCAUUGCUGUGGGGCGGAAGUCCUGUUACCCCCUAUAGUACAAAUGCUGAAAUAAUGAGGGGUGUGUGCUGGUGGGUUGGGAGGUGGUGACCUCAGUGACCUCGGGGCCAAGGGUUUCGGAAACAGCCACCUUCUCCCCUUAUUAUUAUUAUAUUUUGCAAUAAUGUCUUAAUAUUGCACUCCACUUCUGUUGGCCUUUGUAGAUUUAAGUAAAAUGCGCCACAA